rnacentral:lncRNA from 1 species
CAAAGAGCUGCUGUUCUGCGGCCGGCAUCGCCUCCCCUCCCUCCUGGGCCGCUGCCCCAGCUCAGCCUCAGUCUCAACUAAGCUACACUACUCCAAGGGUGAGAUUCAGAGCACGUUUGCCUUGGGCGUGGAGGAGCGUCGUUUUCACAUCAGCAUCCGGUUGGUAGCUGCUACGGCCAGUCUCGCUAACUUCAUGAAGCUGGAACAGACUUUCCUACAGGUGCAGCUCACCUGGAACGGAGGACAGCCUGUGACCCUGCAGCUCACCUGGGCCAACAGGUUCUCAGCACACAGCACCCCCUGGGACGGCUGCCUGGCCACCUCCCCGGGGCAGGAAACCUGGGGCCUGAACACCCUCUGGGCGUGCGGGGCCGUAACACAGACCCCAGACGUGUUCACUGAAUGGCUCGACCUGUCCUGGGGCCAGCAGCGCAUGAGGCAGAACUUGACAUACAAGAGGCAUCGGCCAUCUCAGCCAGACAAGAUCACCGUGGGGGCCAUGCUGGAGCACGUCCUCGGGGCUUCUUGUGCCCGGCAGAGCUUCUGGGGAGAAGUACAGACUGACUACGCACACUGGCUGCGGCACUCCCUCCGCCCGGGGCUCCGUGACCUGCCCAGGGGAGUCCCAGCCUCUUCUCCGUCCUCACAGUCCAGGACCGCAGCAGCUGCCUCUCAGGUGCAAGCCCGGCUGGAAGACAAGGUACAACCGGCAGGCACCCUGGAUGGUGUGGCAGGCCGCCUCCUGCGACUGUCCCAGGCAGGGCUGGAGGCCGUGCAGGUGGCCCACUGCAUGCUGUCCUGGACUGAGGCCAUGUUCCCAUGGGCACUGAAGAGGCUCUGCAGACUCCUGCUGGACUUGUACGGCUUCACAGCCAGGUAACGCAGGGUUGGGAGUGGCGCGGCCGGCGUUCCUGCCACGUAUCAGGCGCAGUGCUGAAUGCUUCCACACGCUCUGACCCACUGACUCCUCUGACCGCGCUGCACAGAGGCUUCUUCACUCCCCAUUUCACAGAAGAGGAAGCUGAGGUUUCUCCCUCAUUCCACAGAGACCUCGUGAGCACAGCCCCAGUGCAGGCAGGAUUUUAGGAGCUGCUGCAGAGGAGCGCAGUGGGCGAGGCUGACCCCUGCCUUCAGGAAGCUCAGUUUUACUUAGACGUGAAGCACAAGAAAA